UCACUGUUCAAUUGCUGUGAGAAGCCAC
rnacentral:piRNA from 1 species